GAUGAACGCUGGCGGCGUGCCUAAUACAUGCAAGUCGAGCGAACGGACGAGAAGCUUGCUUCUCUGAUGUUAGCGGCGGACGGGUGAGUAACACGUGGAUAACCUACCUAUAAGACUGGGAUAACUUCGGGAAACCGGAGCUAAUACCGGAUAAUAUUUUGAACCGCAUGGUUCAAAAGUGAAAGACGGUCUUGCUGUCACUUAUAGAUGGAUCCGCGCUGCAUUAGCUAGUUGGUAAGGUAACGGCCUACCAAGGCAACGAUGCAUAGCCGACCUGAGAGGGUGAUCGGCCACACUGGAACUGAGACACGGUCCAGACUCCUACGGGAGGCAGUAGUAGGGAAUCUUCCGCAAUGGGCGAAAGCCUGACGGAGCAACGCCGCGUGAGUGAUGAAGGUCUUCGGAUCGUAAAACUCUGUUAUUAGGGAAGAACAUAUGUGUAAGUAACUGUGCACAUCUUGACGGUACCUAAUCAGAAAGCCACGGCUAACUACGUG
rnacentral:rRNA from 1 species